UGACCUUAUACAGUUGAUGGAUCCCUCUCGAACAACAAAUUUUCAGCUACAGAGGCCAGCAAGUCAAACGCAUGCAUCUGUUUGUCAUCCACUCUACUUCUAGUAGUACCCUUCCUCCAAAGAUCUCAUUCUUAAAUUAGCAACUAAACCCCAAAGAUUACGAGUGAUCAAGAUCAGAACUGCCAGCAAAAUCUUCUAAGAGAUCCACGACCCCAG
rnacentral:misc_RNA from 1 species